UGGUUUGAGAGGUUGAAGCUGCCAGCAUGAUCUGGUAAUCAACCAUACUCUCUGGUAUCUACUCAUUUUUUAGUUCAAAUUCAAGGUUUCUGGUGUCAAUCAGUGGUGAAAAAAGGGAUGAAAUUUUUUGGAACAGGUUUUAAGUUUACCUGGUUUGUUCUUUUGUUUUAUUUUUUUCAAAGUUCUCAUAUUCUUCAAAAAAGACUUGUUCUAAACUAGAAUUAGAAAGCUACCCAAAGGCAAAAAAUUUUGUUGUUAUAAGAUGUGGUUCCAUCAGGUCAUCUUGCAGCUUCAAUCACUCAAUAA
rnacentral:pre_miRNA from 1 species